AUAAAAUAAUUGUCUAAAUUCUAUUGGUCAUUAACCCCAAUUUUACUUUGAAUAAGCUAGACAAAUCCUUCUAAAAGAAGUUUUUAACUUCGCCUAUGUUUUCAUAGUCAGUCCCAACAGCCCAGACAAAAGAGGGAGGUUUUGAUAUUAACAAAUGGAAAUUAUUAUAGUCUUCUAGAUAUAAUUUGUGAUUGGAGGUAGGAUAAAAACUUGUGCAUUAUAAUUACAUUUUUACCCAAUAAUUCUAUUAACGGGAGAUUUCUGAAAAGGAGUCUCAUGCGUUUUGGGGAGCAAAUAAAUUGUGUUUAGUAGUCGCUAUAAAUCAAUGCUCACUGGUGUUGAUGGCACCACCUUCAUUGGUCGUGUUUUUGUCGGAGCUGUUUCAUAUUCCAUUGACUUGUGGAGUGGCAUUGCCGCAUUUACCAUUUGGGACUGGCCAUGAGACUAACAUUCCCAUUAAUGCGUUUUGUUAAAUUUUGUUAUUUAAAUUAAAUCGGGAGUUUCAUGCUAUAGAUCUAUUUAUACUGUUUCUUUUAUGUAUCCACUGUGAUUCAUUGGUUGUAUUACUUUCGAGUCAUUCGUAGGUUACUAUUGAGUUAUGUUUUUGUGAGUUUUACAUUUUCUUUACCUAAUUUAUUAUUGAAAAAUGCAGAUAUGAAUGAAAUGGGAACUUAACAUUUCUUCGGUGCUUGGUAGAACACAGAGCUAAAUAAAAGCUAAGUCAGUUACAAGAGUCUCACUAUAUUAAUAUUAUGAGUAAGAUGUUAAACCAUCAUCUCUUGUAUUUAUUAAAGUAGGCAAUGAUCUUGUUGGUAAUAUUGCUGCAGGCCAAGUGCGCAACCAUCUGUCAAAAGUUGAUAACUGGCAAAUAAUCAGUUUUAGCCCUGCUUGAACUAAGCAACAAUAAGGUUGACAAAUAGUCAGUUUCAGCACUGCUUGAGCUUAAGCAACAAUGGUAUCACACCCUUCCUCCCAGCCCUAACACAACCUCACAAUCUUGCACUCGACGUGGCCGCCAAUACUCGAGUUGCAGCCAACCCAGUGCGGGAGACAUAGAUUGGGUGUUUUUUGAGAAGCAUUAUUUCCACCAUCUCAACAGUGGGUGGCUUCGGUUUCUCAUCCUUGGCCAGAGUGGAUCCAACUCAUGAAGUGCUUGCUCAGCAAGGGGAUACUUUGUCAUGAGGAGGAAAAAAUGUUCCGCAAUGCUGGAGAUUUCUUAGAUAAAGGAGGCUAUUUCAACAAAUAAUGCAUGCUGGGAAAUUGGAGAAUCACCCAUCAAGAUAUGAAUAAACUGGGAACCUAAAAUUUCUUCGGUGCUUGGUAGAACACAGAGCCAAAAGCUAAGUCGAUUACAAGAGUCUCAGUACUAAUAUUAUGAGCACAGUGAGCAACCGUCUGUCAAAAGUUGAUAACUGGCAAAGAAUCAGUUUCAGCCCCUGCUUGAUUUAAGCAACAAUAAGGUUGACAAAGAAUCAGUUUCAGCACUGCUUGAACUUAAGCAACAAUAAGCUUGGAUUACUUCAUUUGCGGUGUAUAAGCUCUAUGUUUAGUGACCUCACAGUCUUGCUCCCAAGCCUAACACAACUCGUAGUCUUGCACUCGGUGCAGCAGCCAAUACUCGAGCUUGCUCAUCCUUGGCCCGAGUGGGUCCAACUCAUGAAGUGCUUGCUCGACAAGGGAUACUUCAGUCGUGAAGAGGGAAAAAUGUUAUGCAAUGCUGGUAUGGGCAUGAAGGAUUUCAAUGUCAUUAGAACCGUGUGCCUCAAUUUUGGUAGAGACCACUUUCAUCUUUUAAGGAGAUUUCUUAGAUAAAGGAGGGUAUUUCAACAAAUAAUGCAUGCUGGGAAAUUGGAGAAUCACCAGUUAAGUUAGUGGGCUGAACAUUAGUUAAUGACCUUUUUGGAAACCUAUUCUGUUCAUAUUGUUUUUAUUGGUCUAAAAUUUCCCAUGUAGCCUUCAGUGUGUAAGAUUGAAAUAACUCAUUCUCCAGAGAAUCUCACUUUCAUGCUAGAGAUGCCAUUUUUGGUUCUCCGAGUUGUGUAGUGGGAGAAGGUAAAGGAAUUGGAUUGGCUAAGUGGAAAUUUAAUUUUAUAUAUAUACAUGAGACUUGCCAUUAUAUUAUUCAAAUGUGAAUAACAAGGAAGAUCUAUUUGAUUAGAAAAUGGGAAAUUUUGGGUCU